AAUACGUAGGCAGCGAGCGUUGUUCGGAGUUACUGGGCGUAAAGAGUGCGUAGGCGGUUUUCUAAGUUUGGUGUGAAAUCUCCCGGCUUAACUGGGAGGGUGCGCCGAAGACUGGAAGGCUUGAGUAUGGGAGAGGUAAGCGGAAUUCCUGGUGUAGCGGUGAAAUGCGUAGAUAUCAGGAGGAACACCUGCGGUGUAGACGGCUUACUGGACCAUCACUGACGCUGAGGCACGAAAGCGUGGGUAGCGAACAG
rnacentral:rRNA from 1 species